CUCCGCGCACUCCAACAUUUGUCCAUCAGAGGUUGUCCUCAACUCGAAAAACGAUGUCAGAAAGGGAACGGGGUGGAUUGGCAAAAAAUAUCUCACACGCCGUAUAGUUAUGUUGGAUCAUCAACAUUGCAGCAGAGACGUGACAAAUGCUAGCAGCUCUUCAACUUCAUAGGCACACCUCUUCGAGGUCCAAUACAAUUGAAAGGAUGUUCUUUAUCCGAAGCACCAAGAAUCCGUCCCACAAGGGGGUACUCUGCUCUGUCAUUUACUGGUAUUUGUAAAAUACAAACUAAGG